rnacentral:misc_RNA from 1 species
GACUCGAGCUCAUGAAUGGCUGUUCUCUUCAGAAGAGGGCCAGUGGAUGGUUGUUGAAAGCUCAAAAGCCGCUCGCCUUAUAAUGGUUCUAUUAGAUGAAACGCAAUCUGGUGCCAACAUGGAUGCUAUUCAGAAAGAUUUGUCUCCCCUAGUUAAACAGUUGGCACCUGGAGAAGAUGACAGUGGAUCUCAAAUUCCAUUUAUGAUGGCAAGUGAUGGAAUCAAGGAACGCAAUUGUGUUUUCCAGGGUACAUCUU